AGCCUCAUUCUGGAUUAGAAGGAGCACUGCUGGUUGGUGUCCAGCACUGGUCAGUGCGGCUGACACUGAGACUCAGGUCAUGCUCCCAUUGCAGUAAAUAUUUGCAGUGAUGACAAUGGGGCCUGUAACAUUC
ensembl:snoRNA